GCUGAUUUAGCGUAGCGGUAACGCGUUGGCUUCACGCUGGAUUGGUUUUAGCGUCGUGAGUUCGAAUCCCGCUGUCGGCG
rnacentral:tRNA from 1 species